rnacentral:lncRNA from 1 species
GAUUCUGUUUGGUGCUUAUGAGUCGGCUCGUUUUUUGUAAAACCACCAAAAAAAAUUCAUUUACAUCCUACUUCUACUUAUGGAGGCUUUAAUUCAGGUUGAUGAAGAUGACAUAUUUUGGAGACAAAAGAAGGGCAAGGAAGAAUCGGUGGGGUCACAAAAUUCUGCUCACGUAACAUCGCCGUUAGUGAGUGAAAAUUAUCAGACACCUUCUCCUUACUUCCUGCUAUAAUUUAAUAUCUAGUUCUCUAUCAAUCUCAAUGUGGCCAAGGAUUUGUGUGUUUCUUUGUUUCUUUUCCAAUAUUAAGAUUCAUUAUGCAUCCUUUUUUCUUCUUCUUCUUUGCUGUAGGUAGAUAUACAUUUCGUUUACAUUUCUCCUUAGAUCGACAGUAAUAAAUCUGAUGCUGCUGUAGUA